CCCAAAAAAAAAAAAAAAAAAAAAAACAGAAUUACCAUUUUUUAAUGAUGAAGGGUUAAGAGUCCAUGUUGUUUGCUUCAUUCCUUGGAGAAACGUUUUGAGUAAUUAUCUUAUAUUGCUAUCCUUUAUGUCAUUGAAUAGGUGGUUUUGAAUUCAGUUGAAUCCCUGGUUUAUGGGCAUUGACCUCAAGUACGUGAUUUGGUUAUCAUUUUUCUGGGGAUAUUCUUCAAUGGUCAACAAAUGAGAUUUUUCUUUGUUAGAGCUUGAAUGAUGGCUGGCUACUUAUCAACCUAUCAAUUCUAGCAAGAAGCAUUCAUGAUGCUACCAUGGGUGGAUCAAUGAUCCUCUACCAACUUUUCUGUACCAAAGAACAAGACAGAGUUAAGGACAGUUUUGGAGAUUGAAACAAUUUGUACAGUUGCUCUAAUUGCUCCUUGGUAAAAGGUAAUGCAUCCAAGUUGGUAGAAAGCUACUGAAGCUCUUCAGCAGUGGUUUGGUAGGCGCAACCAUCACGUUUGGAUUUUGGCUUCCAAUUUACUGGUUUACCAUGAAGUUUCCAACACGUCUCCUUCUUAUGCCACGGUUUUUUGCAGUGCUCGCACCAUGGUUUAUUACGCCUGUCAUUUUCAGAAUCAACACUUCUUGACAUGAGCAGAAUUCUCAGGUUCCAGGAUUAAAGCAGUUUCGGUAUUGCGCAGCAUGAUUGUUCUCCUUGACUCCUGAUGUCUAACUUCAGAAAAAACUUCCCGAAUAGAGGGCAAUGGUUGCCUGCGGAGAAUGUGGCCGUGAACCUCAUCCAAACUUCGAUUAAGUCCGGCUAAAAACAUGUGGAAUCCAUUUGGGAGUGAUUUUUGCAAAUUUCCAUGUCCAGGCUUUGCAAUGCCCUUUAUAGAUAUAUAUAUGGCCUUUUUGACAAAACUGCUUUAUGGUUGGGCUCUUGAUAUUAACCAGGUUUAUCCAGUUAUUGAUGCCAAGUUGCAAGAAUGAGGUGAUGCCCAGAGGCCAUGGAGAUUGCCUCCACAGAAUUCUUGAGAAGGGACAAUUCAGGAAAAGAUGAUCUGUGGUUUCUACUUCCAACUGACAGGAGAGAGCUGGGCUGCAUUUUGGUCAAUUGAUUGGACAGUGAUUGCAGCAUAGACUGACUUAACAGAGAAUUUACCUGGAAAGUGAUGAAUCCAUUCAGGGAUGUCUGGUUGAUUAUGGAAAUGAUAUCGAGUGAGAUGGAUUUUUUGGAUUUCUGCUACUGGUUCUUGUGAGAACAAUGCCUGAAGGAGGCGGGUGUUCCAUCUCCUAAGUUUCUCCAAGGGUUGGUUGCUUAUGAUUAACAAGCCUGAGUUUAUGACAGCUGCUGUAAUAGCCAAUUGCACUCCUUAUAACCGGGCAGGUACAUGGCAUUUAGAUGAGCUAACAAGCAAAAACAUGUAUUUAAGAAGAAUUCCAAAGCACUUAUAUGAGGCAAGUCUCCAAAGGUCAUUGGGGGGAAAUUCCUUGCUUCCAGUUUCUGGUAAGACUGCUGUAUGAUUAAAUUGCUUACCGUGGUAUUGUUCUUUUCUCCUCAUCACCAACUUUUUUACACCAUUGAUUUCAAUUAUUAUCAAUAAAAAUCAAGGAGAAACUACUAUCUAUCAUCGCUGGUGCAGGACCCAUUAUUGGAGUCAGCAUUGUCUCUUACGUGUGGCAUUGUUUCUAGCUAGGAUAUAGUGGACUAUCCCUAAAGCUUAGAGAUUUUUUUCAUUGUUCCACCCCUCAAGGGACAGGAGAGGAGGUAAAUAGAAAGAGUAUAUCGCAUCGCAUCACAUCACAUUUAAUACUAGAGUAUAGUAUCUUCCCUUAAAGGGGACAGAUUGAAUUCGUGUGUCAUACUGAUAUGUUCAUGUUUAGUACAUUAGUGUAGAAAUCUCCAUCUCCUUAAUGGCGUUAUGGAGAUUAAUCCUGAUGCUUUAUGUCUUAAAACUUCCCGACAUUGUGAUUGUUCUGUUGAAGGGGAGUUGCAAGGCACUGUAAUUUCCUAGGGGAUGUGCUGCUUGCUCUUCCUUCAAUUUACCCUGUUGGAAAAGGUAUUUCAUGAUUCCUUUACACAAUGUCUUUCCUUGGAAUAUAUUUGCAUUUUGAGAUAUCUGUCACUUUGCAGCUCCCCAAUUCCAUACUUUUAUCCCGUCUAUCUUCUUAUUCUGUUAAUUUGGAGAGAAAUGAGGGAUGAACAAGUCUAGGCAGAAUACUGUAGACUUGUUCCAUGGAGAAUAUUACCAAUUACUUCUACUAGCACUUGGAAUUUUUGAUCUAUCAAAUAUUGCCGGGUGCAUAUUUUUAUGUUGUUUUUA